UUCUUGAAUGUCACCAACUUUUUAAAAAUUUCCUUACAGAUAAAAAAGUUUCCCUAUGCCCUAGAAGUGGAUCCUAAUCCCUAAAUGCAGGGAAACUUGCUUAAUUAAGGGCAAGGUCUCCUUUUUGUUAAGGAAUUUAUUCCUGGAAAAGAUUUAGACCACGUGUGGAAACGAAACAAAAGAAACAAGUAGUGGAGUGGUCAAAGCACUCGCCUUGUGUGGACAAAUACAGUACUGUACAGUAUUAUUUUUGUUUUUUUUUUUAGGUUGAAGAAGACUUGCCAAUAAAGAAAAGUGGAAUUUAUCUUCUGUAAUAAAUUAAAGUGAAGAAAAAAGAAGGAACUUCGAAAUAAAAAGAGCUAAAAUUACAGUGAAAGAAUCUUCAAAAGGAAGGUAAAAAGGCACACUUUUUGUGGCGGCACACAAGCAGAUUUAAAUGUUGCUGGCUAAUUUUCACCCUGAAAAUUCAGAAAACAGAAUCUAAAAAGGAGAAGAACGAAAUUCAAUCCAGCAAGAAUGAAAUCCACGAUUCACUCUUAAAAGUUUGUAUUUUACAGGCUUGUACGUUGUGUAUUUCUUUUAUAAGAAACGUGUUACGAAGGAAAGUAUUCUUUUUAUCUGAAUCCAACAUAUAUACAUAUAUAUAAUUCUACAUUUAACAAUGGGGAUAUGAAUAAAACAAACAUUCUAAUAUUAAAAAGUUACUUGGAGUAAAAUCUAUAAAAUUUAAAUUAAUACAUGUUAUUACUUUCAGUUGUUCUUUGGAUGAAACAGUUUAAGAAGAAAAUAUUUUCCAAGAUUAAAGAAAAUAUUGUAUGCUGUUUUACUUACAUCGAUGCUCCUCAUUUUAAAAUAUAAUUGAAGAAGCAGAAGAUAGAUUUAUUUCAUGGAUAUAGAAAUAAGGAUCAAUGCAAAAGCAUGAAGAUAUACAAACGCUUUUAAAAUGUUUUACAGAAAUUGUUUACUUUAAUAUGUUGUUUGUGAUUUAG